rnacentral:rRNA from 1 species
AUUGAACGCUGGCGGCAUGCCUUACACAUGCAAGUCGAACGGAUUCAAGGGGCUUGCUCCUUGAGUUAGUGGCGAACGGGUGAGUAAUGCAUCGGAACGUACCCAGUUGUGGGGGAUAACGUAGCGAAGGUUACGCUAAUACCGCAUACGACCUGAGGGUGAAAGCGGGGGAUCGCAAGACCUCGCGCAAUUGGAGCGGCCGAUGUCAGAUUAGCUAGUUGGUAGGGUAAAAGCCUACCAAGGCGACGAUCUGUAGCUGGUCUGAGAGGACGACCAGCCACACUGGGACUGAGACACGACCCAGACUCCUACGGGAGGCAGCAGUGGGGAAUUUUGGACAAUGGGGGAAACCCUGAUCCAGCCAUGCCGCGUGAGUGAAGAAGGCCUUCGGGUUGUAAAGCUCUUUCGGACAGAAAGAAAUCUUUUGGGCUAAUACCCUGAGAGGAUGACGGUACUGUAAGAAGAAGCACCGGCUAACUACGUGCCAGCCGCCGCAGUAA